rfam:Loxodonta africana unplaced genomic scaffold scaffold_12, whole genome shotgun sequence.
GCAGUGAUGGUUCAGUGGUAGAAUUCUCACCUUCCACGUAGAAGACCCAGGUUCGAUUCCUGGCCAAUGCA